AAGUCGAGCGAACGGACGAGAAGCUUGCUUCUCUGAUGUUAGCGGCGGACGGGUGAGUAACACGUGGAUAACCUACCUAUAAGACUGGGAUAACUUCGGGAAACCGGAGCUAAUACCGGAUAAUAUUUUGAACCGCAUGGUUCAAAAGUGAAAGACGGUCUUGCUGUCACUUAUAGAUGGAUCCGCGCUGCAUUAGCUAGUUGGUAAGGUAACGGCUUACCAAGGCAACGAUGCAUAGCCGACCUGAGAGGGUGAUCGGCCACACUGGAACUGAGACACGGUCCAGACUCCUACGGGAGGCAGCAGUAGGGAAUCUUCCGCAAUGGGCGAAAGCCUGACGGAGCAACGCCGCGUGAGUGAUGAAGGUCUUCGGAUCGUAAAACUCUGUUAUUAGGGAAGAACAUAUGUGUAAGUAACUGUGCACAUCUUGACGGUACCUAAUCAGAAAGCCACGGCUAACUACGUGCCAGCAGCCGCGGUAAUACGUAGGUGGCAAGCGUUAUCCGGAAUUAUUGGGCGUAAAGCGCGCGUAGGCGGUUUUUUAAGUCUGAUGUGAAGCCCACGGCUCAACCGUGGAGGGUCAUUGGAAACUGGAAAACUUGAGUGCAGAAGAGGAAAGUGGAAUUCCAUGUGUAGCGGUGAAAUGCGCAGAGAUAUGGAGGAACACCAGUGGCGAAGGCGA
rnacentral:rRNA from 1 species